GCAAGUCGUGCGAGAAAGAUCUUCGGAUAUUAGUAGAGCGGCGGACGGGUGAGUAACGCGUAGGAAUCUACCUAGUAGAAGGGGAUAGCCCGGGGAAACCCGGAUUAAUACCGUAUACCUCCUUCGGGAGAAAGAAGGCCUCUCUUUGAAGCUUUCGCUAUUAGAUGAGCCUGCGUAAGAUUAGCUUGUUGGUGAGGUAAAGGCUCACCAAGGCGACGAUCUUUAGCUGGUCUGAGAGGACGAUCAGCCACAUUGGGACUGAGACACGGCCCAGACUCCUACGGGAGGCAGCAGUGGGGAAUAUUGGACAAUGGGCGCAAGCCUGAUCCAGCCAUACCGCGUGUGUGAAGAAGGCCUUCGGGUUGUAAAGCACUUUAAGCAGGGAGAAAAAGUUAUAAGUUAAUACCUUAUAACCGUGAUGUUACCUGCAGAAUAAGCACCGGCUAAUUCCGUGCCAGCAGCCGCGGUAAUACGGAAGGUGCAAGCGUUAAUCGGAAUUACUGGGCGUAAAGCGCGCGUAGGUGGUUUGUUAAGUUGGAUGUGAAAGCCCUGGGCUCAACCUAGGAACUGCAUCCAAAACUAACUCACUAGAGUACGAUAGAGGGAGGUAGAAUUCAUAGUGUAGCGGUGGAAUGCGUAGAUAUUAUGAAGAAUACCAGUGGCGAAGGCGGCCUCCUGGAUCUGUACUGACACUGAGGUGCGAAAGCGUGGGUAGCGAACAGGAUUAGAUACCCUGGUAGUCCACGCCGCAAACGAUGACAACUAGCUGUUGGAAGACAACGUCUUUCAGUGGCGCAGCUAACGUUUUAAGUUGUCCGCCUGGGGAGUACGGC
rnacentral:rRNA from 1 species